rnacentral:rRNA from 1 species
GACGAAGGAUCCAAGCGUUAUCCGGACUCAUUGGGUUUAAAGGGAGCGUAGGCGGACUUAUAAGUCAGUGGUGAAAGCCGAUAGCUUAACUAUCGAACUGCCAUUGAUACUGUAAGUCUAGAGUACAGAUGAUGUUGGCGGAAUAUGACAUGUAGCGGUGAAAUGCAUAGAUAUGUCAUAGAACACCGAUUGCGAAGGCAGCUGACAAAACUGUAACUGACGCUGAGGCUCAAAAGUGCGGGGAUCAAAC